UCCAAUCUAUACUCAUCUACACCAGUCUACUACUUAUUUCGCCAAACUAUCAGCGCCAUUUCAUGAAUUUAAUGUUACCCCCUUGAGUCGUGGUUCUGGGUUCACUUCCUGUCUUUCUCCUUAUCGGAGCUUGACAAUACCAGGUUGCUGGUUCAAGAAUGAUCUGGAGCUUCCCUCUCGCAGCAUACAAAGUAGACGGCUCGCUGCUGCUGACCCUCAAGCGCUUCAUUGAAGUGAGACAGAACUGAGUUCAGCACAAUGGCAGCUGCAUCCCCACAAAUGAUUCUUCGUGUUGUUGAGCAAGACCGGGCUAGAAAAUUGAAACUCAGCUCACGACCAGCCAGUGUUGAUGCACUGAUCAACAUUAUAAAAGAACAGCUGGACAUCGACCUUGACUUUGAUUUGCUUUAUGAAGAUCCAGAUUUCGACGGGAAACUUACUUCCCUUGCAGACAUUGAGGAAU